rnacentral:rRNA from 1 species
AGUGAACGCUGGCGGUAGGCCUAACACAUGCAAGUCGAACGGCAGCACAGAGGAGCUUGCUCCUUGGGUGGCGAGUGGCGGACGGGUGAGGAAUACAUCGGAAUCUACUCUGUCGUGGGGGAUAACGUAGGGAAACUUACGCUAAUACCGCAUACGACCUACGGGUGAAAGCAGGGGACCUUCGGGCCUUGCGCGAUUGAAUGAGCCGAUGUCGGAUUAGCUAGUUGGCGGGGUAAAGGCCCACCAAGGCGACGAUCCGUAGCUGGUCUGAGAGGUUGAUGAGCCACACUGGAACUGGGACACGGUCCAGACUCCUACGGGAGGCAGCAGUGGGGAAUAUUGGACAAUGGGCGCAAGCCCGAUCCAGCCAUACCGCGUGGGUGAAGAAGGCCUUCGGGUUGUAAAGCCCUUUUGUUGGGAAAGAAAUCCAGCUGGCUAAUACCCGGUUGGGAUGACGGUACCCAAAGAAUAAGCACCGGCUAACUUCGUGCCAGCCGCCGCGGUAA